CCUAAACUCCUCGUGUGUGUCUGUGUUC
rnacentral:piRNA from 1 species